ACCACACAUAGAACCUGUUAUUUCUACAGAAGUUCAAGUCCAGCCUUCCUGUCCUGUUUGUGGCAAGCAAUUUCCCAGAGAGGUGUUAAUGUUGCAUGCAGUACAUGUGGUGAAAGUGUAAUGGAAGACUUGCCAACAACAUCAAGGCCACAAGGUGGAGCUGCACUGAGCAGCGAUGGAGACGACCUCAGUGCUGCAACAUUGUGUGAAGUCACCGGUC